rnacentral:rRNA from 1 species
CCGGUUGCCGGCGACCGGCGCACGGGUGAGUAACACGUAUGCAACCUGCCCGUGGCAGGGGGAUAAGCCGGGGGAAACCCCGUCUAAUACCGCGUAACGCGGCCUAGGGACAUCCCAAGGCCGCCAAAGGGAGCAAUCCCGGCCACGGAUGGGCAUGCGGCGCAUUAGCUAGUCGGCGGGGUAACGGCCCACCGAGGCGACGAUGCGUAGGGGUUCUGAGAGGAAGGACCCCCCACACUGGUACUGAGACACGGACCAGACUCCUACGGAAGGCAGCAG